rnacentral:rRNA from 1 species
AGUGAACGCUGGCGGUAGGCCUAACACAUGCAAGUCGAACGGCAGCACAGAGGAGCUUGCUCCUUGGGUGGCGAGUGGCGGACGGGUGAGGAAUACAUCGGAAUCUACUCUGUCGUGGGGGAUAACGUAGGGAAACUUACGCUAAUACCGCAUACGACCUACGGGUGAAAGCAGGGGAUCUUCGGACCUUGCGCGAUUGAAUGAGCCGAUGUCGGAUUAGCUAGUUGGCGGGGUAAAGGCCCACCAAGGCGACGAUCCGUAGCUGGUCUGAGGGGAUGAUCAGCCACACUGGAACGGAGACACGGUCCAGACUCCUACGGGAGGCAGCAGUGGGGAAUAUUGGACAAUGGGCGCAAGCCUGAUCCAGCCAUACCGCGUGGGUGAAGAAGGCCUUCGGGUUGUAAAGCCCUUUUGUUGGGAAAGAAAUCCAUCUGGUUAAUACCCGGGUGGGAUGACGGUACCCAAAGAAUAAGCACCGGCUAACUUCGUGCCAGCCGCCGCAGUAA